GGGUUGUGAGGUUAAGCGACUAAGCGUACACGGUGGAUGCCCUGGCAGUCAGAGGCGAUGAAGGACGUGCUAAUCUGCGAUAAGCGUCGGUAAGGUGAUAUGAACCGUUAUAACCGGCGAUUUCCGAAUGGGGAAACCCAGUGUGUUUCGACACACUAUCAUUAACUGAAUCCAUAGGUUAAUGAGGCGAACCGGGGGAACUGAAACAUCUAAGUACCCCGAGGAAAAGAAAUCAACCGAGAUUCCCCCAGUAGCGGCGAGCGAACGGGGAGCAGCCCAGAGCCUGAAUCAGUGUGUGUGUUAGUGGAAGCGUCUGGAAAGGCGCGCGAUACAGGGUGACAGCCCCGUACACAAAAAUGCACAUACUGUGAGCUCGAUGAGUAGGGCGGGACACGUGGUAUCCUGUCUGAAUAUGGGGGGACCAUCCUCCAAGGCUAAAUACUCCUGACUGACCGAUAGUGAACCAGUACCGUGAGGGAAAGGCGAAAAGAACCCCGGCGAGGGGAGUGAAAAAGAACCUGAAACCGUGUACGUACAAGCAGUGGGAGCACGCUUAGGCGUGUGACUGCGUACCUUUUGUAUAAUGGGUCAGCGACUUAUAUUCUGUAGCAAGGUUAACCGAAUAGGGGAGCCGAAGGGAAACCGAGUCUUAACUGGGCGUUAAGUUGCAGGGUAUAGACCCGAAACCCGGUGAUCUAGCCAUGGGCAGGUUGAAGGUUGGGUAACACUAACUGGAGGACCGAACCGACUAAUGUUGAAAAAUUAGCGGAUGACUUGUGGCUGGGGGUGAAAGGCCAAUCAAACCGGGAGAUAGCUGGUUCUCCCCGAAAGCUAUUUAGGUAGCGCCUCGUGAAUUCAUCUCCGGGGGUAGAGCACUGUUUCGGCAAGGGGGUCAUCCCGACUUACCAACCCGAUGCAAACUGCGAAUACCGGAGAAUGUUAUCACGGGAGACACACGGCGGGUGCUAACGUCCGUCGUGAAGAGGGAAACAACCCAGACCGCCAGCUAAGGUCCCAAAGUCAUGGUUAAGUGGGAAACGAUGUGGGAAGGCCCAGACAGCCAGGAUGUUGGCUUAGAAGCAGCCAUCAUUUAAAGAAAGCGUAAUAGCUCACUGGUCGAGUCGGCCUGCGCGGAAGAUGUAACGGGGCUAAACCAUGCACCGAAGCUGCGGCAGCGACGCU
rnacentral:rRNA from 1 species